rnacentral:rRNA from 1 species
AUUGAACGCUGGCGGCAUGCCUUACACAUGCAAGUCGAACGGUAACAGGUCUUCGGAUGCUGACGAGUGGCGAACGGGUGAGUAAUAAAUCGGAACGUGCCCGAUCGUGGGGGAUAACGAAGCGAAAGCUUUGCUAAUACCGCAUACGAUCUACGGAUGAAAGCAGGGGACCGAAAGGCCUUGCGCGAACGGAACGGCCGAUGGCAGAUUAGGUAGUUGGUGGGAUAAAAGCUUACCAAGCCGACGAUCUGUAGCUGGUCUGAGAGGACGACCAGCCACACUGGGACUGAGACACGGCCCAGACUCCUACGGGAGGCAGCAGUGGGGAAUUUUGGACAAUGGGCGAAAGCCUGAUUCAGCCAUGCCGCGUGCAGGAUGAAGGCCUUCGGGUUGUAAACUGCUUUUGUACGGAACGAAAAGACUCUGGUUAAUACCUGGGGUCCAUGACGGUACCGUAAGAAUAAGCACCGGCUAACUACGUGCCAGCAGCCGCAGUAAUAC